AUCAGGUGUACCAUACACAAGAUUCAUUUACUUUCUCACUUUUUGGACAGCAAGAAGCCCCCUUUUCCUCAGGACUCAGUUCCCUCGGUAUUGCUAGGUUGAAACCUCACAGAUCAGGCUGAUUUCUAGCAAAAGAUGAAUGGCAAGAAAUCUGAAAAGCCUCCAGUCUAAAGGACCAACUGGACGGGAGCCACUGUAAAAUUGUAAUAGCCUGAAUGCAGACACCAGGAGGAGGUUGCAAUUCCAGGAACUAUGGA